UACGAAGGGGGCUAGCGUUGCUCGGAAUUACUGGGCGUAAAGCGCACGUAGGCGGCUUUCUAAGUCGGAGGUGAAAUCCUGGAGCUCAACUCCAGAACUGCCUUCGAUACUGGAGAGCUUGAGUCCGGGAGAGGUGAGUGGAACUGCGAGUGUAGAGGUGAAAUUCGUAGAUAUUCGCAAGAACACCAGUGGCGAAGGCGGCUCACUGGCCCGAUACUGACGCUGAUGCACGAAAGCGUGGGGAGCAAACAGG
rnacentral:rRNA from 1 species